rnacentral:rRNA from 1 species
GAUGAACGCUAGCUACAGGCUUAACACAUGCAAGUCGAGGGGCAGCAUGAACUUAGCUUGCUAAGUUUGAUUGCGACCGGCGCACGGGUGAGUAACACGUAUCCAACCUGCCGAUGACUCGGGGAUAGCCUUUCGAAAGAAAGAUUAAUACCCGAUGGCAUAGUUCUUCCGCAUGGUAGAACUAUUAAAGAAUUUCGGUCAUCGAUGGGGAUGCGUUCCAUUAGGUUGUUGGCGGGGUAACGGCCCACCAAGCCUUCGAUGGAUAGGGGUUCUGAGAGGAAGGUCCCCCACAUGGGAACUGAGACACGGUCCAAACUCCUACGGGAGGCAGCAGUGAGGAAUAUUGGUCAAUGGACGAGAGUCUGAACCAGCCAAGUAGCGUGAAGGAUGACUGCCCUAUGGGUUGUAAACUUCUUUUAUACGGGAAUAAAGUGAGGCACGUGUGCCUUUUUGUAUGUACCGUAUGAAUAAGGAUCGGCUAACUCCGUG